rnacentral:rRNA from 1 species
GACGAACGCUGGCGGCGUGCUUAACACAUGCAAGUCGAACGGAAAGGCCCUGCUUUUGUGGGGUUCUCGAGUGGCGAACGGGUGAGUAACACGUGAGUAACCUGCCCUUGACUUUGGGAUAACUUCAGGAAACUGGGGCUAAUACCGGAUAGGAGCUCCUGCUGCAUGGUGGGGGUUGGAAAGUUUCGGCGGUUGGGGAUGGACUCGCGGCUUAUCAGCUUGUUGGUGGGGUAGUGGCUUACCAAGGCUUUGACGGGUAGCCGGCCUGAGAGGGUGACCGGCCACAUUGGGACUGAGAGACGGCCCAGACUGCUACGGGAGGCAGCAGUGGGGAAUAUUGCACAAUGGGCGGAAGCCUGAUGCAGCAACGCCGCGUGCGGAAUGACGGCCUUCGGGUUGUAAACCGCUUUCGCCUGUGACGAAGCGUGAGUGACGGUAAUGGGUAAAGAAGCACCGGCUAACUACGUG